CUAGUUAACCCUGCUCAACUGCUUAAUUUUGCAAUUCCAGAGUCCUCUUCUCUCUCCUACUCUGCUUCCCUCAUUCCAGCAACUGAGUCCUGGUGAUACACUGAUACAAUUUAAGGAUGGAUUUCUGCCACUUUUGGAUACCAACCCUAAGACCUCACCCUAUUAGAGGAAGGCUGUUAACCUUGGCAAACAUAUUUUGGGGGGAACUCGCCUAAGAUGCGGCCUUUGUUUGGGCCUGACUGUACUGGCAGCGAGAGGGAACCACAGGACAAGGAUGACCGUGUGACUCAGUAAUAGAGCAGCAGGCUUGUAGGAUGUUCAGGUCCUGUACCCAGUCCCGACAGCGUUUUGUGAGUUGGAAAGCCCUAUCACUCACCUCUUUGAGCUUGGGUCUCCUAAAGGACAUUACACUGCCACAAGUUAAAAUUGCAACCUUUUUAGAAAAAUGGCUGGCUUAAAAGUCUCUGCCGCACAGCGGGAGAGUCACAGCGGCACAAACCUGUAAUCCCAGCGCUCCGGAGGCUAAGGCAGGAGUACAGCAGUUCAAGGCAAGACCACUCUUAAUUACACAGCGAUACCUCGUCAAAAAAUAAAAUGUCUCAGUUGGGAUUCGAUCAGGCAGCCUGCCCUGUAGGUUCUAAAGCAAGGCUGUAGGCUAUAAUAAGGCCAGUGGAGAGGCCUGGGACCCAGUCAUCAAACCAAGACUUCAGAGUUCUGUGUGUCUGCUGUGCUGUGGAACACCAGAGCGCUCUCGCCUCCAUGGCUGGGAACCUGCUGGACGCUGGAAGCACCUACUCCAUGAUGGCCCGGUACAGUGCAGGCUCUAUAUAAUCUUCCCGGUAUCUAGAGUUGAUGACCCGCUGCCGUUUCUUUUCUUGCUUCACCUCUUUUUCCGUGAAAAUCUCAUUGAAGCGCAUGUCUGAGGCCACUGACUGCAGAAGAACAGGGAAACCAAAUAACUUUAUAGCCAACUCUCCCAAGGGAGAAAAAGUGACAUGCCCCAGCUCUGUUCCCUCCUGCUCCUGGGAUCCAAUGGCACACAAAACACACUCACCAGUCUAGACUUGACUCUUUUGGGAAGCUCUUCAUCCAGUGUAUACACAUCAUCUCUCUUAACCACAAGCUGUGAGCCAUCCUCAAACUCCACCUGCCAGUGACACAAAGACCUUUGGGCUAGGGUACCUUGGAGUUUCCCUUGUCUACCCCAUGAAAAUAGCAGUUUUCUUCAUCCAAAGGAAAUCACUACAGCACUGAAGUAAUAAGGACUGCCACUUCCGCACACUAGGAAACUAGAUGUAGGACAGAGCUAGCUCUACAAAGUUUAUUACCAACCUAUAGUAGUUCUUUGAAAAGCAGAGAAUCACCUGACCCAAGAGACAACACUGAAUGAAUUGACUAUCACGCACUCCUAACAGGAACCUUUGACUACCUGGUACAUUUGGAUGGGGUGAGAAGCCACAAAUUUAGCUCCAUAGACUUGGCCAUCUGUUCAUCUCACUUGGACCACUUCUCCUUCAGCAGGAGGACCCAACUGGAGACAGUCCUGGCUCUGAAGAAAGAAAAAAGGACAAUGAAAGGUCCACUUCAGCACAAUGGUAACUGACAUCUACUCAGGGAAAAAUAAGUUAUAGAUUAUGCUUCCGCUUUGACAUUCCUAUAGACUACUUACUCUGGGCUGAAAGGUUAUUUGCAAAUCAGAGUCUACCCUGUAUCUCUUAUCUUGAUUCUAGGUGACAAAAUGAACAGGCAUAAUGAAUUUAGCAAACUCAGUAAGCAUAGGAGCUAAGUGCCAAAAUCAGUGAUCUUCACAUCCACUCACCUGUUUUCUACAACUCUUCAUAAAGAAAUGCUAGAAAUUUACUCAGAAUUUAAGAACGGUGUUUUUAAAACACAGGUAAGUUACAAAAAGUAGUUACCUACGAUGGGUCAUGGCACAAUACAUUAGAACCUUUACUCCUAGAAAAGGAUACUUUAAAAUGACUGUUCAACUAUAUCCCAGCUUAAGGUGUGGUGCACAAUCAGUGAUGGUUGAAUGAAAUGACAGGCCUGGAAGAAGAUGGCCUAGCGAGGUUCCCACCAGUUUUUCCUUAGCCCCAAAGCCCUCAACUGUAAAUAGCAAAGAGCAGAUUCUACAUCUGCUAAGAUGGCAUGGUAGAAAAAAUAGCUGGAUAGUUCUGUAAAAGUCAUACAUCUUUUGGAACAGCAAAACGUGCACAAUUUGAUACUAAAGAAUGGGCUUUUUCCACUCUAUUAGGUGCCUUCAGGAUAGUCUGGCCAAAACAUGUGUAGUUUAGAGAACUGGAGAAAAUACUGAUUCCCAUGAAAUUUUAGGGGGAGCACAGUAACCCAUUAGCACAGUUUUCCUUGCAAGGAAAAACCAGUAUAAAUGUCUUUUAGGGAAAAUUAAAGAACUCACAGGACCUAUUAAUAAAGGCAAGCAUACCCACAGGCAGUCUACCAACUAGGCCUAGAAACUCCUAAGUCCCAAACUGCCAGAGAAGCUGCUUGCAGACAUUACCACUAUGUCCUCAGGAUACAGAUUGUCACUGAAGGAGCCAUCAUCAAAAUUGACUUCAUAGAAGGUCUCAGUGGUGAGCCUGACCACUUCACACUGGUAGAAGCGCCCAUUCUUAUGUUUGCUAAUGACCUUCUGGCCAGCAGUAAUACUCUGCAAGGCCCCUUUGGCACGCUGAAAGAAACAGAGGCUUGGGUUAUUUACACAUUGUACUCAUGGGUCUGGCAAACAAGAACCAAAAUCAAUGCAUUCCCCUUUAUCCAAAGAAGAUAAGCGUCAGAAUAAAAAGCUAACAAGGAGAGAAGAAACAGGAGCUGAAUCAUUUCUUUCCACAUACCCACAUCCCAGCCAGUGUCAUAUUCGCCUACAUAAAUUUCACUUCCCCUGAGCUUCUAACCCGGAACUGGUCCUUCUGCAUAAAUAUACCCUGUGACUUCCCUGGACCCAACCAAAUCGUACCCACAAUGUACAUGGCUUACUCUUACCUAUCAGAGUCUCAGAGUAGACUCAUGGGACCAGAGGCCUUGGCCCCAAGCAUUGCUACACUCUAAGCUGAGCACUAGCCCUACCCUCAGGGACAGGACACAGAGACUGAAGUUUGAUGAAUGUUCUCAGCUAUCUGCAACAACCUACUUCCCAUUAUAAGGGCCCUGCUAUCUAUGGUGCCCUCAAUUCAGAUUACUCCUUAUGAACUCCUUGAUGCAAUGGUAUCAGAAACUAUGUAUUAGGCUCACGGCCAAACACUUCCAAUAACCUGCCCAAGUACUCUACUCCAGCCACAGUUCUCAAUAUACACGCUACGUAGAUCCCAGCCCAGGGCCUUUGUACUGCUAUUCUACCUGAGAUGCCUUCCCCAGUUAUUUGCUCCCUGGUCUCCUCACAUCUCAAGAUUCAUCACUGACAAAAUUACUCACUGUCCACUCCUCUACCCUCUUUAUCCACCACAGUUCUGUCUAAUACACUGUGUACUACUAGCUUCCUGUGUGUAUCUUUCAGCUAUAGCAUAUGCACCUCACAUAUACUCUAUGAGGGCAAGGACUUUCUUCUCUUUUCCACUAGUCAACUUCUAACAUCUAGAACUGCUUGUCACAUAGCAGGUGCUUAAAAAAAUACUUAAAACAAUAAAUCAGUCAAAGAAAUAUUCAGCAAUACCCCAGUUACCUCUCAGCAUCAGCAGUCUACAGCUACCAAACGAAGUAUAUCAACUACUGAUAAUCAUGAAACAAUCCUGUUCCAUUGCCAAAUGAAUUUAUCUGCCAGAGGUGGGCCUUGAUCAUAACUUAGACCUUUAUUCCUCCAAAGCUUUGUUUUCACACUGAACAUUUCUCCAUUUCCCUAAGGUACUACCCAUAUGUCUGACAACCACCUCUUAUGAUCAUAAAAUGGUUUCAUGAAAAAGGAAAAUCCAGGCAACUAUUGAGGUCUGUUCUGUGAUCUCAACAGCAGAGUGCAAAACUCUCUCCUCUAGACUGGCUCCUAACACAUUCUUCCUUGAUUAUCGUGCUCACCACAAUGGGGAAAGUCUCUUCUAUUAGCCUGUUACUCAAUGGUGGAGCCUCCUCCCACCUUGUGUGGCUGCUGACUGCAACCCGAGGGCUUCCUAGUUUGGAGUACUCAGAGAGCAGCAUACCUCAAAGGUUUGCCUACGUAUUCCGAUUUCAAAACUUACUCUCUCUUAGGCUAAAUUAUUUCACUGCCUCAAUUUCUGAUUUCUGAAUCACUCUUAGAGCCAUUACCAGAAUCACAAUUUAAAAAUAUAGUUCAACUGGGCAUGGAGGCACACACCUGUAAUUCCAACACUUUGGAGGCUGAUGCAGGAGUAUCUCAAGUUCAAAUCCAGCUGGAGAACAUAACAGUACCUCCUCUCAAAAUAAAAAGGGCUGGGGAUGUAGCUCAUUACAAAGGCCCUGGGUUUAAUCCCUAGUAUACCCCAGUACCACCACCAUCAAAAGAAGGAAAUACAAAAGGAAAAUACAUAAAAAGGAAAUUUUAAAAAUUUUAAACACAAGCUGGAUGUGGUGGUACACCCAUGUUAUUGCAACACUUGUGAGGCUGAGGCAUACGACUGCCAUGACUUCAAACCAGACUGGCCUAUUAACUGAGGUCCAGGCCAGCCUAAACUUAGUAGUGAAACCCUGUCUCAGAAAUUGCAAGCCAGGUAUGGUGUCACAUACGUAUAAUCCUAACUACACAGAGGACUGAGGCAGGAAUUUUUAAGUUCAAGGCCAACCUAAACAAUCCCAGAUUCUAUGUGAAAAUUUUAAACUGGACUAGGGAUAUAGCUCAGUGGCCGAGUAUUGCCUAGCAGGCUGAAGGCCUUGGGCUCAAUCCCUGAUACCACAUGCAUGUGCACACACAGACACAUACUUUAAAAUCUUUUGUUUGUGUGUGUGUGUGUGUGCGCGCGCGCGCGUGCAUGCGCAGGGGGAACCGGGGAUUAAACUCACAACGUCACGCUUGCCAGCUAGGCACUAACACUGCUGAACUAAACCCUGGCCCUAUGCUUUAAAACCUUAACACCGAAGAAAGUCAUCCAACAGAAGAGUAGUAAAGUGCAGCACAAUCUUCAUUAUUUAGUGCUGCUUUCCUCUCAGUUCCGAUCCCCUGCUACGGUUCUAGAACCAGUCUUGUAUGUGCAUUUUUUAAGCUUUGAUCUUGUGCUUCUGAAGCCAAGCCUUUUCUGCUUACAAUUUCUUAUUAAGAACCACUUCAAAUGCCAGCUUCGACCCAGACUCUUUCCUAACUCUACUACCUCACAUUCCAUGUAUCUCCCUAUACUUCAUCAAAGAACUACAUAAACCCCUAGUGAGUAUCAGUUAAUGGCAAACUGUCAGUUCUCUCCAGUAGUUCUCAUAUUUACAAAGCUUCUACUAUGUCCCUGACACCAGAUGAAAUAAAAAGGACAUCCAGGGUAAUAAAAUACGGAUCCUCAGCCAGGCAUGGUGGUACACACCUGUAAUCCCAGCAAUCUGGGAGGCUGAGGCAAGAGCAUCACAAGUUUUGAGCCCAGCCUGGGCAACUUAGCAAGAGCCUGUGUUAAAAUAAGAAAUAGGCUGGGAAACAGCUCAGUGCAAGGCCCCAGGUUCAAUCUCUAGUAUUGCUCAAAAGAAAGAUAUGGGCCCUCCCCUCAAAGAGUUUAUCCUGGUGGACAAGCAAGCAAAUAAAGAUAAUCCAAAGGAAUCACGCAGAAGCAGUUUGGUGCCACUACAUUAUGAAAUCCAAAGCAGGAGUAGAGACAGUUGAGGUCUUCUCUUAAUGACUUACUCAUUAGGAUCUCCACCAAGCAUACUACUUGAGGAAAUAUGUGCUGGCAUGAAAAAUGGAUAGCACAGAGAAAGAGAGUCUUCACUUUGUCAAGAGGAUUCCAGAAUGGCACCCUCCCUUACCUCCAAACUGGGAAUCCUAUGCCGAAAGCAGGUAAUAAAGACAACAAAAGGCCAGUCAUCUGGCUGCAUCAUCACUCCAGCAGCCUGGGCACAGCUCACGUGGAAGGCAGUUGGGCACCGACCAUGGGAACACUGCACACAGCAGCCAGCGUUUCUUUUCCUCCGCUUCUUACAGAAGACACAUUUCUACACACAGUAGCAGAAAACCAAUGAAUGAUUCCAGGAAAGACAUUCCAGCCUUUUUUAUUGAUCGACUCCCCAAAUGCACUGAGCCAGGUUAAAAAGAGCCAACCCUCCCCUAAAACAUGAGGGUAUACAGCCUAUUCUAAUCUCACAACUGAUCAUGGGUCUCCUUAGUAAGUAAUCUGACUUGAGUGAGAACCAGAAAGUGAACAAAACUAGGGCCAAGCAGAUAUACACUGUCCCCCUCUACUCGGAGACCUAAAAACAAGGUAAUUAGGAAGCAUCCACAAACCCAUCUCUUCUUACUUACCAGUUUGAAGCGGGGCAAGGGGAUUUUGCUCACAUCCACUGGACUUCUCUCUGCAAUGUUGACAAAUCUUGCUUCCAGAAUUGCCACAGCACAUGAAACAUGGACCCACCUGCCAAAAGGGUCUCAGUCACCUCUGUCUUCCUUUCUAGGAUAGACCUCCAACAGCACUGGCUCCCACACCCACAAUGACCAAUGACUUCCUCCACAAAGUUCCCAAAGCCCAGGAAGGUGAGAGCCAGAAAUAUCACACCGCACUGUCCCAGGUUAAGGUAGGAUCACACUUCUUACACUGCUCCCUCAAAACUGUAGCAAAAUAAGUCGGACCAGAACCUGACUGUGGUGGGUUUCAGAGGUGAGAAUAAACUCAAGUGUCACAGGGUUCUCUUCCCAGAGGACCCAGGCACUUCUGGAAAAUAGCUUCACCAUACCAAGUUUGCCGGUAUUGUGGAACCCCUAGUCUCUGCUCAGAACUCUUUCCCAGGCUGAAACAAUCUCUUUUCUGCUCCCUUUAUCUAAGGCGGAUUCAGACGUUAAGAUCUGUCCCAAGUCGCACUUUCCAUGAGAGGUCUGCCCAACAGACAUCCACAGAGGAUUAAAUUAAGUUCUGGGCAUUUUGAGAUGACAUGCACCAAGAUAAAAACUAAGCUGGUAAAAGUUCUUAAUAUCAGGGGAGGGGUAUGGAACAGUGCUAAAGCAUAUAUCUAACAUGUACAAGGCCCUGAGUUCAAACACCAGACCUGCAAAAAAUAAAGAAAAAUCAGGACACAUGAAGGCCUACAGAUAACACUGAUGCUACAUGGAAGCGGUCAGCCGUAUUGAUGGGGCUGUCAUGCCCUGUGCGGUUAGAACAGGGAUUAAAAGGACCAGUGAAAGGCUUCAACAGAGAAAUCUCACCUCCAAGAAGGAAGACUGUGACCAGCCCUAUCUUGCAACUGGGAGGAACACAGUAACUUCAAGUAAUGGCAGCCAAGUGCCUUCAAAUGAGUGUAAAUGACAGCAGAAGGGCCAUCUAUCAGAAAGAGCAUGCCAAGCAUGAGGCAGGACACUCAUUCACUGCAUGCCGCUGCCUGUAUGCACAACCCUAUAAAAAGUUUCCCGGUAUUCAUGGGGGAAAAACCUCAGCAACUUACAUUUCUGCCUCAGGAGUAAAUAAAACAGGACACAAAAAACAAAGAUGCAACUAUAUAAAAGUGAGCAACCCAAUGGCUGAGAAGCCCAGAAUCUUCUGUAGAUUUAUAGGUGGCAUGGCUGAUCUCUCAAGUGUCUCAUUUUCUUGCUGCAGGACUCCUAUUAUCUCUAAACAUUAGGUCUGGGCUAGGGAGUUUCCUCUGUAGCAAAGUCCUCACUACCCAAUGCCCAUGGCCACCUCCAGCCCACAAAGGCCUUGCACCACCAUCUCAGGUGUCCAUACCCUUCUCUGAGUCCAUUCUCAGCUCCUCCCAAGAGAGGAUGUUACUAAAGGAAAGUAGAACUGGAAAGAUCCAGGACUGCUUGGCUCCCCUCAGCAAUCCACUAUUAAAAUUAGUUCCAAAAAUGCUGUCCCUACUCCACACAAUGCACUUCCCAAACCCUCACCAGGUGCUCAGGAAAAAGAGUCAUGGCCCCACACUGUUGCUAUACUCUGCGUCAGAGUUGAGCAGGGGCAUUCCAAGAAAUGGGUCUGAAAACUCACCUAUCAUCAUUUGCUCUCUGCAGGGCCCCUCCUCGUAAGGAGCAUAAACAACAGUCCUGUCCAAAAAAAAAAAGGGGGGGGGCGGGGGAGCAGUUACCAUCAAGUCAAUAACACCGUAUCUAAUCUCCAUUAAUUUCUUGUGGACAGCUCUGACCUCAACCUAAGAAAGCAAUAUAAUGACAGGCAGGGCUUCAAAAUAUAAGCCUUAUAAAGCAGAGACGCCCCUAUAGGAUACAGAGACCACUGGGGCCAAAGUGCAUCAAGUAUCUGCUUAAAAUAAUCCUCUUUGUUGUUAUUGUUCCUAACAACAGUAAGUCAAGUUACAAAAGCUGCUCUGUGUAUAAAGUGGAAGAUUUAUGGAGCCUUGACUGUUUCCUAGGCAGGUUAUUGCCAGGCUCUGGGGGUGACGAUCAAGAGAUAUCUGCAAAAUCAACUAUCUGAGCCCAAUACUGAGGCUCCAACCCCAUGGUUAACUCUUCAGUGGUGUUACAGACAAUCACCUUGGUCUUGGCUCAGUGAAAUGAACAAAGCUUCCAGGUCUAUUCAUGCCCUGCUGCAAAUGGGCAGAAACUACUCUUCAGUGAUGUUAGACUUAUUCUCACAUUACUGACAUCACUAGUACUGGGCCCUAUGUAGAUUGCUGGGCACAUCAAGUCUAGCCUAAAACAGCCUGAUCCUGACCCUGAACGUAUUCGAAGUCUCAUGGAGAUCACAGAAAGAGUGUGGCAAUACUUACUUCCUCUAGGGCAUUGGCUGAACACCGAGAACACAUCCAGUCUUCAGAAGCCUUUGCAGGGGGUACACCGUAGCAACCUAAAAGAGACACCAAGAAGAGCAAAUUAAACCCAGAGGUCAGAACAGGAUAUGCCUAUGCGUGUCUUUCCUCCCAACGAUAAUAAAACUUACCAAAGCCCUGAAGUCUAGAUCAGAGUCCCCAGGGCUCAAUCACAAAAAAAGACAGGAGCUGCAGAUUCAUUAGUAACUGCAAUACCAAGUGUAUAGCAGAGUCUAAUCUACUGUGGAUUAUCUCUAACUGUGCAAUGGAAGAAUUGACUGGUAAAACUACCGAUGCUUCGAGUCAUGCAGAAACUCAUCACCAACAACAAACUCCCCAAGGACUUAUAAGCAGCCUGUGCACUUAAAGAAAGGAAAGGUCAGCAGGCAGCAAGGACAUUCAGUGAGCAGACCCUGUUCCUGAAAUAAGAUAAAGAAAAAGGUAAGAAGCACUCACUAGCAUGAACACGGACACUGCAUUUCUUGCAGGAAACUAGCAUGCUGGUACCAUCUUCCUCAAGAUAAGGAGUAGACAGGUUAAUGUCUGUACUGCAGCCAGUUGAGGUGAAACACAUUUCUGGAAUCAAUGGCUUAGUCCUCUGCUUUUGGGAGGCUAAUUCCGAAGCAUUUCCGCAGUUCUGGCUAAGGCCUCCAAAUUCGACCUAAGGGAAGAAGAAAAAGUGCACACCAGUGAGCCCACGCCUGUGCUCUUAGCUUUCCACCUUCUCCAUCAGCAGAAAGCUGAGUCUCUUACUCAUAUGACCAUGGCUACAACUCCCAAGUGUAUAACCAUUAUCCCAGAGCUACUAAUUGAAGUUACCUCUAAUGACUCAAAUUCAAUUUCUCACAGCAGCAUCAAACAAAGGCCCCUGGGGGACAACUGGGAAGAGGGAGCGAGGUAAGAGACAACUGGGAUUUCAGUCUUCCUACUCCAAAUGGUAAUAAAAUGCAGAGAUGCUGCCAGUGGAGCAGCCACUGUGGGCUCCCCUAUGUGCUGCACCACAUGGUGGCCUCACUCAGGGACAGCACCCAGAACAGGUGCAGCUAAUGGGCCAGCACUGAUUGCCUCUGAGACUCUGUGUCAGCAAGUCACCAGGACUGCAGCACUGUCACCUGGCUGGGAUCCACCUGUGGUUUUUGGCUGAGGGGCCCCUCCAGAAGAACAUCAAAUCCACAUACCUCCCUCGGCAAAUGAUAUUGACUACAAAUACCAGCUGGCUUUACCACUGGAUGGCAACAUUAUUCCUAUUCCAAGGAGGGAGAGCCCAAAAACAUGUUAACCUCUAAGGCUACGCCAUUCGUGAAACUCUAUAUAGGUAGCACAUGCUAACUAACUUCACUACUGGGGUGCCAGUCAUUCAUGAAACUACACCCCACUUAAUCUGUUGGAAGUAACAACCAGAACAGACACUUUGCUCACUGACAACGGCAUAUACAGUUCUUUGGUAUUGUUUUUCUGUCAAUAGAAAGAAUUUGUGAGUUACUAACAAAAAAAGUAUUGGUCUGAGGUUCCAUCCUUCAGCACGUAUGAAACUGGGGCCUUGCCAGACUCACAGCGGCCAUGCUGCUUUAAUCUCCAGAGUGUGAUAGCUUGCUUACUUCCAAGUCCCAGCAGAGCCUGAGCUGGUCACCUGGCACCUAACUGAUCUACUAGAGAAGCCCUUAGUGUCCCAGAUUGGGAAGGGCACAUCUGAGUUCAGCAACCGUGCUUCUCUACCUGUCGCUGAAAGGUUCUUACCCUAGUAUAAAUUACUAUACAAUUAUGGCGGUGGUCCACCGUGACGGAAGGCCAAAGUGGGAACGCUUACCACUUCCUGCUUCUUCUUCAGCCCUGAUUGCACCUCCCCUUGCUGUUUGCACACAAAAAAAAUUCCAAUCGGUUCCUCACAUGUCAUCUUUAUCCAUCCCGUGCACCACUUCGGAUCAGCAAUCAUAUAGCUCUCAUAACUCUGUGCUUCUCUGUAUCCAGUCGAGGCAGACAGCCCAACCACCACGGGUUCUGUGCUCUUUUCCACGUCCUCAACUCAAUAAACCUGUUCAUUUUAUAAUUUUUGCUUCUCAAUUGCGCCAGAAUACUCCAAUCCAGGCCUCUACUUCCACCUUACCCUAGUUAUUUCUGGCCACCAGCAACAUCCACAACGGAACGGGUAUAAAGAAGCCAACAUGACAAGAUCUAGCUUUUCACCCAGAGUGUGUGAGAGUGUGCUUAAAUAACUACGGUCCUCUACACUGACUGGUCAAUCCUACACUGCCUGGCAGGGACAACAUCCGACUAGGAUGCUAGGAAAAACAGAGAGCCCUGAAAAGUCAAGAUUGUGACUAGCACUGGUGCCCAAAACAGCCUGAGCCACAUGGUCUCCAGACCAUUUUCAAGUGAAAAUCUCUAACUCAGGGUCAUCUGCCUGAAGACUGAGCAACUUCCAUCAGGCAGAGAACACCAGGAAAACACGUACUUCACCUAAGGGUACCAGUGACAAAUUACAUACCCACAAUCAAAUCUAGUGACUGCUGGUCCUGGGUCAAGGCAGGAUAAAGUGAACCUACCUGAUGAUAUGUCUGGAAGAUCAUACAGACAGCACAGUGAGGGGGCUGCUGGGCCAAGCUCUCAUUGAAUUCCUUUUCAGCCUCAAAGUUUGGGGGUCGGUUCUGCCACAGUUGGCUCAGGGGCUUGGCCCAGGCCUCUGUCUCCUCAGCCUCCUCCUCGGGGGUCAAUUGCUCAGAGGUCUCUAGGAGAAGAAACAAGAAUGUAACACAAUACCAAGCACACCAUAUGUGGUUCUGCCUUGAGAGCAGGAGCACUCAGCCAGGAAUCCUGGUCCACACCAGAUCCUAGGAGCGAUAAAGGCUACAGGUAGAAGUGACGGUCUGAUAAGACUCCUUCAACACUGGAAUGUUGUUGUGGGGAGACCUGCCUUACUCCUCACUCUGUGGAGACUGACUCAUGGUCUCUACUGUUCCUCUUACAUGGGAACUCCGCCUGCUCCGCCCCCCUCGCAGCUGCCACAUUCAACCCUCUGCCUCCUCCAAAGGCAGCAAGAUGAAGCACUCUCUUGGCAGAAACCAUCAAAAAUGUUAGCAUGGCUAGGCGUGGUAGUACACACCUGUAAAAGCACUUGGGAGGCUGAGUUAGCCUGGGCUACAAAGUGAAUUAAGGCCAGCCUGAACGCGUAGUGAAACCCUAUUUCAAAAACAAAACAUAAAAAUGCAAAAAGAAAAAAAAAAAAGGUCAGCAUAUUAAACCUUUGCUUUUUAUGGAUUUUCUUCAGUUGCACUGAAGGGAAAUGGGAAAGAAAAUAACAGCGAAUUAGCAAAGCUUAAAAGUUGUUAAACCAGGGUCUUCCAUCAGGAGCUGCCAAGUGCUCCCUCUGGAAAAGCCUGUAGGACACCUGCCUCUUUAAAGCAGUGCACCCCAGUCCCUCCAGCCUAUAUCUCAGAGGAGGGCGGAGUCACAUGGCCACAGUGAAUCCUUGUUUCCAGCCAUAACAUGCAGGAACCAAAAUCUAUCCCACUCAGGGCACCAACAAUUUUUUUACAUUUUUAAACAGUUGGGGAAAACAAAAAUGUGAUGGCCUCAGAAAUCACUAAGGGUCAUAAAGCCCAAAACAUUAACUCUCUGUUCCUUCACAGACUCCUGGUCAUUAUGACAGACACAGCCCUUGGCUUUACUAGCUUAGAGGGGACACACUUAGCAGAUGUCACAGGGACCGGGGAAGAACUAAGCAAACUGCUGAAAGGAAAAUCACCACACUGGUUCACAAAACAAAAUGCUGGCCUCAAACUCAUGGCAAUCCUCUUGUCUCAUCCUCCCAACUGCUGGGGUUACAGACAUGGACCAUCAUACCCAGCUACAGCAAAUGUUCAAAGGAUGUAUAAAGAAAGUAUUGAAAGCCAAGUAGACAGUAAGACAGACUUACAGUGACAGUGUUCCUGUAAUUGACAAAUACAUACAGACACAGCAAACAGUGUCUCCAAACACUUCAACUAGCCAAAUCUGAGCAUUCUUGUCACAAAUUCAGAGGUUAUAUUACAAUCUGAAUUACAUCCUUUUAUUAUUUUUAUUUAUUUUGUUGCUUUUUUUAAGACAGUUUUGCUAUGUGCUUCAGACUGGUCUAAACUCCUGCCUCCUGAAUGGUUAUAUAGGCAUGCACCACAACAGCUAGCUCAAUUACAUUAUGUCAAAAAGACAUACAUGGAAAAACACACACAUGGACAUAAUUUACAUAUGUCUAGAAAAACCAGGGAUGGAGGAUACGUGUACAGGUAACUUUUUGGGAUUUUUCAAAUUUUCUACAAUCUGUGUUACAUCAAAGCAUUAAAGGGAAAGGUUCAUGCAACGAAGCUGAAGCUCCAGCUAGACUAGGGUACAAACUCAGGGGACUUUCCAACUACAAACCAGGGAGUCCAUCAACAUGCUCUUACUGAUGACUCUCACAGAUCCAUAGUCGUUUGUGUGCGUGUGUGCAUGUAUCAACAUCUGGCACUGCAGACCUUCACACUGAUAUGUAUUCCUUUGCUUAUUUAAAAAUAAUGUUUGUUGUUGUUUUAAUUUUGAGACAGGAGCUCACCAGUUGCCCAGGCUGGGCUUAAACUUGUAAUCCACCUGCUUCAGCCUCCCAGAGUGCUAAGAUUCCAGACUGGCCUUAGAAACUCCUGCCUCAGCCUCCUGAGUGCUAGAAUUAUAGGCAUGUGUAUCAUGCCUAGCUCAAUUUCUUUAUUUCAAAAAGACAGAACACCCAGCACAAAUUCAGGUAGCUUUCUCCAUACAACAUUCCCUUCUGUUAUUUCUACCAAAGCCAUCCUAUUCAGAUCACCGUAUCUCAAACACACCAUUAUGAAAGCCCAUGGUCUUUUCAAAGCAUCCUCCAAGGAGCCAGCACUAGGGGUGAUCUUUCAAAUGUCAAUCUGCUUUUCUACUUCUCUACUUAAAAUACUUCAAUGGCUCCCGAGUCCUGUGAAAAAUGUCUCCACUCGAAGCACCAUGGUCAUGACCCAUGACACAACCUUUUUCCACUCCUCCUACCUCAGUCAGUCCCUAAUCGUGUCCUUGAAUUCUAGCAAACGAGCAGAGGACAGUUCAUCUGCACAGAUACACACUCCUGUUUCUAUUCACCAUGGUGACUCAUGGUGCCCCUCUGCCUACACUGGCAUUUCUUCUUUCUUUAGUUUGCCCGUAAGUUGUAUCACUCCCCUGUGAGGACUCUGACGCCACUAUCAUACCUUAGUUUUGCACCUACAAAUUCAACAUGGUCUUGACAUGGUUGACAGAACUUGUUAUCCUGAAAAGUCAGUCUUGUGCCUCAAGAAAGGAAAGAACCUGCAUGCAGUCAUCCUGCAGCAGGUAUUUUCUAUGAUACUUAAGCUAAUAAUGAAAUCUGAUGAGCAAAUGAGAUAUAAAAGGAAAUCCUUCCUCUAUGUGGAGUAUCUAGAAGAACAGCCACGCCACAAGGCCGCUCUUACCCAUCUGUUUGGCCUUGUUAUGUCCUAUAAGCCCCAGAUGGUGCCUGCUUUCCUCCUUAUGGAGAGGAGACCCCCACUUACCAUCGUCACUGAUGCACUCCUGCAACACAAGCGGAUGAUGCCUCGGGAGCUUGCUUAAGGGCUGACGGCGACCCUUGGACUUCUUAUUCUCCUCCAGGGAAAACAUGUAUUCAUCUGCAACCUGGGCAAAGCAGAGGACAUCAACGUGAAUUCAACUUGGCAUACAGGGAAGGUUUCUGUGCUCACUUGCCAGUCCAUUCAACCAAUGUCUACUGAGCACCUAUGGUAAACAAAGGCCUGCUGGGAAAAGGCAGGCAUUCAGAAAUGACUGAUACACUGACAGGAUGUGAUCUGGGUUCACAGAAGCCACGUGACGCAACAAGAAUGUAGGAACAAGAUGAAGUGAAGCUUUAGGAAUCUGCUACUACUGCUGGCCACGAAGACUUUCAGCUCUCGGUGAGACUUGCAGUAUUAUGUACUGUCUAAAGUGCCAGCUUGUAGCUCAACAGCACAGCACUUGCCUAAUGUACAGGAGAUGCUGGGUUUGAUCCCCACGAUGGCAAAAAAACAAACAAAAAAUGUGCAUCAGGGAGGUCCCCCAGGAGCUUCUCCUGGAAUAAACAGAAAAGGAUCUGGGCACCGCACCCAUCCAACCAGAAGAUCUUUGCUCUUCAUUUCUAUUCUUCAAAUGAGUAAGGCUUCAUUUAAAGGGUUCUUUGGCUAGAACACACUAGAAACCCUUAUUUGUCAAUGGUUUUUGUUUUGGGGGGUUUUUGGUGAUGUUGGAGAUUGAAUUCAGGGCCCCACAUGUGGGAAACAACCCCAGUGACUCCGACUUUCGUUAGUGGGAGACUUGUUUCUUUUUUUUUUUUUAUUUUUUGAUCGGUACCGGGGAUCGAACUCAUGACCGCCUACUUGCAAGGCAGGUGCUUAGGCCAUUGAGCUAAAUCCCCAACCCCCGAGACUUAUUUCUUUAUACUGAUAUGAAGAAAGCAGGCUAUGGUAUUUUCUUCUCUCUUCAACUGGCUCUAAACAUUGCAAAUAAGGCUAGCCAGGUACUGGUACGUAAUCUCUAAAGCCAACAGUCAGUCUCCUGUUUCCUCGCAUAGUGCUCUGUAAAAGAUAUGAUGAUAGAGCCAAUCAGCUGCAGGAAUGUCAACUGGGUAUGAGCCUCAAGGUAAAGAGGCUAUGACUCCCCAGAGCAUGAGAGUUUACAUAUCAAAAACUAAAGCCAUAGCCUUCCACAACAAUUUAGUUGCUACCUUAGAUUAUGUGAAUUGAUCCUUCUGCAUAUCUUAAUCCCUGCAAUUUACAGAGAUGCCUUUCUCCUA